UGCCUGGUGGUCCAGUGGCUAAGACUCUGUACUUCCAAUGCAGGAAGCCCAGGUUCAGUCCCUGGACAGGGAA
rnacentral:tRNA from 1 species